rnacentral:lncRNA from 1 species
GUGAGAACUUACAUCAGUUACAAAAUCCUAUUUUUGAUUUGUUAACAUCUUUCUGUUUUCUUGAGGAAAGUAAUGUUGUCUAAUUUUCUUUGACUACAGCUUGGAGACACUGCAGAGUUUUGCCAAGCGUGAACUGCCAGGAAGCUCAAUACUCUGCGAUGUAAAACAGAUGGGAUUAGGGAUGUUGUGGAGUCAUAUGGAUCUUCAGCUGUACCUUCUGUAGGGCUGAGACUGCUGAAACCCUUGUAAAAGUGCUGCACACCACUGAACCUGCCCAGCAGCUCAUCAUCCAUUUGAAGGCCAAAUUCUUUGGCGAAGGGAGUGCCUCUGAAUGGACUUCUUGGCUACUUCUUGUGACAGGAUCAAGAUCUACAUGAAGAUAGAAAAUCUGUCUUUGCUCAUGGUGAAAAGAUCCACAAUACAAAUAUGAGUGUUCCAAAUUGUAGCAAACCUCUAUCCCC